rnacentral:rRNA from 1 species
CCAAUAGCGUAUAUUAAAGUUGUUGCAGUUAAAAAGCUCGUAGUUGAAUUUCGGGAUCAGUAGGUUGGUCGUGCCACUGGUAUGCACUGGCCUCACUGAUUCCUCCUUCUUGUAGAACCGUAAUGCCAUUAAGUUGGUGUUGCGGGGAAACAGGACUGUUACUUUGAAAAAAUUAGAGUGUUUAAAGCAGGCUAACGCUUGAAUACAUUAGCAUGGAAUAAUGAAAUAGGACGUUCGAUCCUAUUUUGUUGGUUUCUAGGAUUGACGUAAUGAUUAAUAGGGAUAGUUGGGGGCAUUAGUAUUCAAUUGUCAGAGGUGAAAUUCUUGGAUUUAUUGAAGACUAACUACUGCGAAAGCAUUUGCCAAGGAUGUUUUCAUUAAUCAAGAACGAAAGUUAGGGGAUCGAAGACGAUCAGAUACCGUCGUAGUCUUAACCAUAAACUAUGCCGACUAGGGAUCGGAUGAUGUUAAUUUUUUAAUGACUCAUUCGGCGCCUUACG